rnacentral:lncRNA from 10 species
GGAUUACAGGCAUGAGCCACCGCGCCCGGCCACGAGACACAAUUUUUCAGUGAUUUGCUUACUACUCAAAACUCCACCUGUGGUGAUAGUUACAUAACUGUGCACAUAUUUAAAAUCAUGGCAUUGUCUACUUAGAGCAGAUGAAUUGUAUGGUAUGUAAAUUAUAACUCAGUAACUUUUUUUUUCCAAAUGACUGGGGGAAGAAAUACCUCUGUAUCUCCACAGUUAGAAAAAUCUCUCUCCAGUACCAAUCCUCCAAAGGUAUUAUUGGGAGUGGGGGAAGUCCAAGAGUAAUUUGCACUGAAAUACGGCUUUCCUAAUCUGGAAACUCUGUUUCCAACAUUUUUUGUGCCAACCCUACUGUCUUUUGAGCGCAUAAUUCUUAUUUUUACUACUAGGUAAAGAGACACUUAGAAAGGUUGGGAUUACCACUCGAUUCCACUGUGUACAGGAGUUUACUUCCAGAAACAAUUCACUUGCAAGAUUCUCUGUUCCCUUGCUCCACUUGAUUCAGGGAUAAAUAUUCUCUGAAAAGGAAAGAAACCGUGUAUUUUAAAUUUUCAUUUAUAUUCGUCUCAUCUUCCUUAGUAAGUUAUAUUGAGGACAGAUUUCUGCUGUAACUCCCUUUAUUACCAGUAUAUUAUCUGUUAAAAUGAAUAUUAUUGACUAUUUACUGACUGCUCUUUGAAAAAGUUGGGAAGUUAGGUGAGCUAAAAAUCUCUCACAGUUACUUUUGUGUAUUUACUUGCAGGACCAUUGCAGAGCUUAUUAGACCGAGAGCACUGGGUCAGCAAACUACAGUCCUCUGACCCACGGCCUGUUCUUUGGAAUGCCCAUGAGUUAAGAAUGUUUUUUAUAUUUUUCAGUGGUUAAAAAACACACAAAAGAAGAAUAAUAUUUUGUGCAUGUGAAAAGUAUAUGAAAAUCAAAUUUCAGUGUCCAUAUUUAAGUUUUAUUGGAACACAGCCAUGACCACUUGUUUACAUAUUGUCUAUGGCUGGUUUCAUUCAACAAAGGCAGAGUUGAGUAGUUGCAACAAAGACUUCAUGGCUCUGCCAGGCGCGGUGGCUCACGCCUGUAAUCCCAGCACUUUGGGAAUCUGAGGCGGGUGGAUCAUGAGGUCAGGAGAUUGAGACCAUCCUGGCUAACAUGGUGAAACUCUGUCUCUACUAAAAAUACAAAAAAUUAGCUGGGUGUGGUGGCACGUGCCUAUAGUUUCAGCUACUCGGGAGUUUGAGGCAGGAGAACCGCUUGCACCUUGGAGGCAGAGGUUGCAGUGAGCCGAGAUCUCGCCACUGCACUCCAGCCUGGGUGAAAGAGCAAGACUCCAUCUCAGGAAAAAAAAAAAAAAAAAAAGACUUCAUGGCUCACAAGCCCAAAAUAUUUACUAUCUGGCCCUUUACAGAAAAAGUUUGUCAACCCCUUACCAAAAGGAAAAUAAUAACCUGCUUCUGUCAUUUGUGCUUAACCUAAUUCAAAUAUUCAGCUUUGUCAUGCGUGUCCUUUUCCUCUUGCAGAUGUUUCUGUCAUGGGUAAUAUAUUAUUAGUUGUCAACAUAAAUAAUGAACCUUUUCAAGCGAUAGGUUGCUAACACGUGUUUCAUCAGCCACUACUACAGUUCAGUGAUAAGGUACUGAGAGCUGGUGGAAAGAAAUUCUCCUGCCCAUCUGCCCAGCCUAGAAGAGGAGGUAUUGCUCUACUGCAGUUGAUUUCUUUUUCUUUCUUUCUUUCUCUUUCUUUCUUUCUUUUUUAAGUCUAGUUGAUCAAAAUUGCUCAAUGAUGGCAGGUUUCUGUAACCAUUCUUGCGUUGAAGUAAUGUGGCACACAAUGAGUCCAUGACAGGUUUUGUUCUAAGUAAAUAUUAGUGUCCACUCACUAUGGAAUUUGCAAGUGAAAUUUCCAAAAUGUUCAUAUUGUUUUUCUACAAUACUGGGAUCAUUCACUCUCAGGCUGGUGCUGGUACCACCACCCUGUCCCCAGGAGGCUACUAGAUGUGUUUACAGUUUACAGUCCAGACCCAUGUCCAGGGGGUCUUUCCUUGUUUGCCUCCCAUCUGUUUCCAUGUGGCCAGGAGCCACUCUGCUCACCAGCUGCAAUUCACUCCAGGUUAAUUUCUGCUCCAUCAAAUUAAGACUCCAGGGGAGAAAAAAAUUAUUUCCCCUGGCUCUGAGUCUCCAGUUUUUUGGAGACCUGAGAGACCCUGUUUACAGAUACACACACAGCAAGGGAAGCACAUGCCAGUAGUUCUAGCUACUCAGGAUGCUGAGGUGGCGGAUCACUGGAGCCCAGAAGUUCCAGGCUGCAGUAAGCUCUAAUUGUACCUGCACCCCAGCCUGGCGACAGAGUGAGACUCUGUCUCAGAAAAAAAAAAAAAUAUAUAUAUAUAUAUAUUUGCAUUCAGAAAAAAGGUUUGUUUAUAACUUUUCCCAAGAGAAGUGAGUGUUGCUUUAAAUUUGUGCAACUGAAGAGCCUCUUUAGGCAGACUUCCUAACACAAAGGAAACAGUCUGUCCUAAAGAAUUAUUCAGGUUUUCCACCUCUAUAGAUACAAUAACUGCUUAUCACCUUAGUAUACAUUUUCUUAGCCUCAACUAAAUCCAGGCUAGGAAAAUUAUAGGCAUUUGCCUGGGCACCUUGUUAAUAAUGUUAUGUCAUAAUUCUAGUAAGUUUCUUAUAAAUUCUUAAUUACUUUGCAAAUACACAUAGGAAAAUAUGGGGCUCUAUUUACAUUUCCCAUCUGACAAUACAGUUUUAAAAUUCUCUAAUUGCUCUUAAGAAAAUAUACUUCUCUAGAUAUUUAUACAGGGAUUUGUGUUGCCACAAAUUUGAAUGGCAAAGCCAAUGCCCCCAACAGAUUCAUUGUCUUCCCCAGAGAGCAUCAAUCAUUGUUGAGCAUUUGUCUAAAUAAAACACUUGUUUGAGAGCGUGGGCGACAUGGCGAAGCCUUGCCUCUACAAAAAAUACAAAAAUUAGCUGGGCAAUGUGGCACGCGCCUGUGGUCCCAGCUACUUAAGAGGCUGAGGUGGGAGGAUCGCUUGAACCUGGGAGGUGGAGGUUGCAGCGAGCCAAGAUUGCGCCACUGCCCUUCAGCCUGGGCGACAGAGUGAUACCCUGUCAAAAAAAAAAAAAAAAAAAAAGUACUUGUUUGGGGAUGGUAUAAAUUACUAGAGGUUCUCACCAAGCAUGUUUUGCACUGUACUAAGUUAUUAAUACUAAAACAGUUUCCAAGGUUUACACCACUGUAAAUAGAAAAUAAAGAUACCUGUUAUCAGCCAGCUUCUGUUAGAUAAGGCUGCAGUAAUAAACAACUCCAAACAUAUCAGUGUCUUAAGAAAAUAACCGAGGUUUGCUUCUUGCUUAUGUUACAUAUUGGUAGCCACGAGUUGGCAGAGGCACAGCCCAUGUAUCUUAUCACUAAAAGGCAUGAAAGUGCAGCAGAAAGAUGGGCUUUUAACGAGAUGGAUUUGGGCUUAAAUCCCCAAUACCACUUCUUACUUGUGUGAUCUUGCAUGACUCUCUUAACCUGCUUAAGCCUGUAUUUCUUCACCUAUAAAAUGGGGUCAAUAAUAGCACUUAUAGAGCUGUUGUGAAGAUUAAAUGAAAUAACAUGGAAAUCAACUAGUCGUUGAGUGCCCUGAAUAUAGUAGCACUCUAUGCUCUGCGCUACUCUGUGCCCUGCACCAUAAUAAACAGUGGUUAUUAUUAAGGCUGCAAAAACCUAUCUCCUUGCUUUUUCAACAUUUGUGGUUAGACUGAUCAACUUUACUCUUCUUUGGAAGAAGGAAUAAGAUGCGAAAUUCAAGUCAGUCUGUCUUAUGACUAAUUAGAUAUUAUGAGGCUGGGCGCAGUGGCUCAUGCCUAUAAUCCCAGCACUUCGGGAGGCUGAGGCAGGCAGAUCACUUGAGGUCAGGAGUUCCAGACCAGCCUGGCCAACAUGGUGAAACCCCGUCUCUACUAAAAAUACAAAAAAUUAGGCAAGCGUGGUAGUGUGUGCCUGCAAUCUCAGCUACUCAGGAGGCUGAAGUGGGAGAAUCACUUGAACCCGGGAGGCAGAGUUUGCAGUGAGCAGAGAUUGCGCCACUGCACUCCAGGCGGGGCAACCGUGCCCCGCCUAGUUUUUCUUUUUUAAAAACAUUGAUUUUUUUUUAAGAUGGAGUCUCUCUGUUGCCCAGGCUGGAGUGCAGUGGUGUGAUCAUAGCUCACUACAGCCUGAAACUCCUGGAAUCACAUGAUCCUUCUGUCUCAGCCUCCUGAGUAGCUGGAACUACAGCUGUGCAUCACCAUGUCCCACCCCUGGCUAAUUUUUGGGUUUUUUGUAAUGAGGGUCUCACCAUGUUGCCCAAGCUGGUCUUGAACUCCUGACUUCAUAUGAUCCUCUUGCCUCAGGCUCCUGAUUCACUGGGAUUACAAGUGUAAGCCACUAAACCCAGUAGUUUUUCUUAAGUCUUCAAACUCAACUUACAAAUCUUGAUAAUUAUUAAUCUAAUCCUAUGUUAUAUAAGAAAUAAGAUUCAUUAUUUUUACUUGUUCUGUGAUUAAUAUUCAACUAAUACUUAUUUUAAAAAAUACUUAUAUGUAAAAAAUUAAAUCCCGGCCAGGCCACGGUGGCUCACGCCUGUAAUCCCAGCACUCUGGGAGGCGGAAGCGGGUGGAUCACCUGAAAUCAGGAGUUCAAGACCAGCCUGACCAACAUGGUGAAACCCCAUCUCUACUAAAUACAAAAAAUUAGCCAGGUAUAGUGGCGCAUGCUUGUAAUCCCAGCUACUUGGGAGGUUGAGGCAGGAGAAUUGCUUGAACCUGGGAGGUGGAGGUUGCAGUGAGCUGAGAUUGCACCAUUGCACUCCAGCCUGGGCAAUAAGAGCAAAACUCUGUCUCAAAAAAAAAAAAAAAAAAAGAUUAAAUCCCUAAACAUUUAGCAUAUUAUAUAAGUAGUUCAUUAACUUUUAUUAAAUAUUUCAAGUAAUUAAAAAUUUAAUAUAUCUUAUUCCCUCAAACACUUCAAAUUCCUAACAAGGUUCAUUAGUCAGGGUUCAAUGCAGGAAACAGAAACACUCUAGUUUUUUUUUUUUCUUGAGAUGGAGUUUUGCUCUUGUUGCCCAGGCUGGAGUGCAAUGGCGCGAUCUUGGGCUCACCGCAACCUCCGCCUUCCGGGUUCAAGGGAUUUUCCUGCCUCAGCCUCCUGAGUAGCUGGAAUUGCAGGCAUGUGUCACCACACCCAGCUAAUUUUGUAUUUUUUUAGCAGAGACAGGGUUUCUCCAUUUUGGUCAGGCUGGUCUGGAACUCCUGACCUCAGGUGAUCCACCUACCUUGGCCUCCCAAAGUGCUGGGAUUACAGGCAUGAGCCACCUCGCCCUGCCUACUGUAGGUAUUUUAAGCAGAAAGGGAUUAAAUACAGUAGAUUAGAUUAGGUAUUUAGAAACUUUUUGGAAGAGAUGGAGGGGUAGGCUCUAGGCAUAUCUCUGGCAUGACUCCCAGAAUGUUGCAGAACUGGUCUAUCAAGAAUGAUGCUUCCUUUGCUACAGACAGGAAAGUGGAGAUCCAGAGGCCAAAAGUAAACUACUGGGAUCAAAAGAUUCCUGGCAUAUUGACCAAAAUGCCAUUCAGAGAUCAUAAAGCCAGGAUCAGGAAGCUGUAGAAGCCACCACCACAACUGUCUCAUCACUGAAUUGUACUAUCUGGCUGCCACUGCUGCAGUGGAUUCUCAACACCAUAGAGACUGAAGCCGAAAUGUCACUAGCAGUACAUACUGCGUAGCAUCAGGAAGAGGGACCUUGCCGCUUUUCUCCACGGUCUUGUUUGAAGCUGCUGGAGGAUAUGUUCCACCAAAAUAAAGAAACAAACCAUGAAAAAGGAAGACAUUGGAUGCAGGGAACAAGAGGUUUACAGAGAGAGACAAAGGAAUUUUCAGCAUGAUAUCAAGGAACAGAUCCAGGACAACGAUUCUAUAGCUUCGUUAGAGGACUGCUUUAUUUUAUUAUUUUAUUCUAUUCUAUUCUAUAUUUUAUUUUAUUUUUUAUUUUAUUUUAUAUUUUUUGAGACGGCGUCUGACUCUGGUGCCCAGGCUGGAGUACAGUGGCGCCAUCUCAGCUCACUGCAACCUCUGCCUCCCAGGUUCAAGUGAUUCUCCUGCCUCAGCCUCCUGAGUAGCUGGGAUUACAGGCACGUGCCACCACACCCAGCUAAUUUUUGAAUUUUUAGUAGAGAUGGAUUUUCGCCAGGCUAGUCUCAAACUCCUGAUCUCAGGUGAUCCGCCUGCCUCUGCCUCUCAAAGUGCUGGGAUUACAGGUGUGAGCCACCACGCCUGGCCAAGGACUGCUAGUUUAGAUUGGAGGGGUGACCAUGGAAAACUGCAGGUGUGGUAUCUCUGGGCAGGAGGUGGGGAGAGAAGGAACUGGUAGAUCAUCUGACAGCAUUGACCAACUGACCGUGUAAAACUUGCAUGAAAACACUUCAAUGUUGGGUAGUGUUGCAAGAUUUAACUAUAAGUUUAAGGUAAUCUAAGUGCAUGAAAAAUGGGAUCGAUACAUUCAUACAGUGGAAUAUUGCUUAGCAAUAAAAAUGAAUGAGCUAUCAAACCAUGAAAAGAUAUGGAAAAAUCUUAAAUGCAUAUUGCUAAGUGAAAGAGAGGAGUCUGAAAAAACUGCAUGCUGUAUUUCAAUUAUAUGACAUUUUGGAAAAGGCAAAAUUACUGAAAUGGUAAACAGAUCAGUGGUCAACAGGGUCUCAAGGAGGAAGGUUGAAUAGGUGAAGCAAUCAGGGUUUUUUGGGGAGAUGAAAUGAUUCUGC